GAUGAACGCUGGCGGCGUGCCUAAUACAUGCAAGUCGAGCGAACAGACGAGGAGCUUGCUCCUCUGACGUUAGCGGCGGACGGGUGAGUAACACGUGGAUAGCCUACCUAUAAGACUGGGAUAACUUCGGGAAACCGGAGCUAAUACCGGAUAAUAUAUUGAACCGCAUGGUUCAAUAGUGAAAGACGGUUUUGCUGUCACUUAUAGAUGGAUCCGCGCCGCAUUAGCUAGUUGGUAAGGUAACGGCUUACCAAGGCAACGAUGCGUAGCCGACCUGAGAGGGUGAUCGGCCACACUGGAACUGAGACACGGUCCAGACUCCUACGGGAGGCAGCAGUAGGGAAUCUUCCGCAAUGGGCGAAAGCCUGACGGAGCAACGCCGCGUGAGUGAUGAAGGUCUUCGGAUCGUAAAACGCUGUUAUUAGGGAAGAACAAAUGUGUAAGUAACUAUGCACGUCUUGACGGUACCUAAUCAGAAAGCCACGGCUAACUACGU
rnacentral:rRNA from 1 species